UCACCCUUGUAGACAAUUUCUGCAAUCUGUCCAUCUAAAGAUCUUUCGACCAUCUUUUUCACUGGACAAUUUGGAUGCGUGCACUUGUAGUAACUUCGCGGAUACUCNACUUCCCUUUACUUGCUUUUGCCCAUAUUUUCUCCAAUUAUAACCAUCAUAUGAAGGUCGAUCCCCAUUAGAUGCAGCAGAUAAGGUUUUCAGAUCCUCCUCUUGGUUCUGAGAUGUUAACCUUGAGGGUUCAGUUGACUGAUCUGUUUGUGCAUGAGAUGGAAUAUUAUGGUGAAAAUUUGAUGUAAUCUGGGUUGUAAAAUUGUGGUUUUCUUGGUUUGGAUGUUGAACUCGAGCCUCAACCAAUGGCAGCGUUUGUUGUUGAUGACCAGCAACAAAAUUUCCCAUAUUCGCCAAAAGAGAAACGGUUGUCUUUGAAACAAGUUUGGCCUGCGGUUUAUAUAUCACAGUAGGUUUACUGUCUGAUUUUGAAACUUUAUCAUAUGAAUUGCAAAGUCCAGUUCCAGAGAGAUCAGCCUGGGAAGAAAUCGAUCCAGCUGGAGCACGAUUCACCAUUGGCUUGAACCUCACUGUCUUUGGUCUAAUAGCAGCAACUGUGGUUUCUGAACAUACAUUAGGGGGUGAAACACUAAUGGCACCUGCAAGGAGUUCUGAGAAAGUCCUAAAAUUGGAGCAAGUAGGCCUGGAAG
rnacentral:misc_RNA from 1 species